rnacentral:lncRNA from 1 species
UUAAGUCCUUGAUCUUUGAUUAUGUCAAAGUCACUCCAUCAGGAGGGUGUCCACGGCAUCGUUGGGGUUAAGCUACUUAGCCAUGGAGGCAAGUGAAUGCGCAACAAGGGAUCUCUAACCUUCAAACUGUUUGAGGGAGAAUACUCUAUGAUAUGAUUUUGAAUCUUUGGCCAGAGUAUGAAUGAGAUUUGGGAAUGCGUUCCGAAUCACAUUCAAGGUAAUCAUAUAAGCACACGACUCACAUUGGAUAGUAGACAUGAACAAAUAAACUAUCAUACCAAACAAUGUGGUCAAGAGUAUUAGAUUAGAGAAAGACCGUAUUGCAUUUGUAAUCCCAAACUGAAU